rnacentral:rRNA from 1 species
GAUGAACGCUGGCGGCGUGCCUAAUACAUGCAAGUCGAGCGAACGGACGAGAAGCUUGCUUCUCUGAUGUUAGCGGCGGACGGGUGAGUAACACGUGGAUAACCUACCUAUACGACUGGGAUAACUUCGGGAAACCGUAGCUAAUACCGGAUAAUAUUUUGAACCGCAUGGUUCAAAAGUGAAAGACGGUCUUGCUGUCACUUAUAGAUGGAUCCGCGCUGCAUUAGCUAGUUGGUAAGGUAACGGCUUACCAAGGCAACGAUGCAUAGCCGACCUGAGAGGGUGAUCGGCCACACUGGAACUGAGACACGGUCCAGACUCCUACGGGAGGCAGCAGUAGGGAAUCUUCCGCAAAGGGCGAAAGCAUGACGGAGCAACGCCGCGUGAGUGAUGAAGGUCUUCGGAUCGUAAAACUCUGUUAUUAGGGAAGAACAUAUGUGUAAGUAACUGUGCACAUCUUGACGGUACCUAAUCAGAAAGCCACGGCUAACUACGUG